GGCAAUAUCUUUGAACUUAUCAACUCCUUCAGCAGUGCAAAUGGAGGCUUCUGGAUUUUGCUUAAUCCAAUCUGUAAUCAAAUCAAAGGAAAGCUGAUUUUCUGCAAGGCCCAUUUGGAUGACUCCAUCGGGAUUAUCAGUUGGGUGAAAGGGGUUCCCAUCGUAUUCCUUCCAUCCAUCGAAGUAAGGGGAGUUCUCCC
rnacentral:misc_RNA from 1 species